GGAGUUGGCCAGGCAAUCGCUGCUCUCGUAAGAGAGGGGAGGAAAGUCCGGGCUCCAUAGGGCAGAGUGCCAGAUAACAUCUGGGCGGCGUGAGCCGACGACAAGUGCAGCAGAGAGCAAACCGCCUAAGCAUAUUUAUAUGCCGGUAAGGGUGAAAGGGUGCGGUAAGAGCGCACCGCGCAACUGGUAACAGUUUGUGGCACGGUAAACUCCACUCGGAGCAAGACCAAAUAGGAUCCCGCUAUAUGUGGCCCGCGUUGGGAUCGGGUAGGUUGCUUGAACUAUUCAGCGAUGAAUAGGCUAGAGGAAUGAUUGCCCCAGACAGAACCCGGCUUAUCGGCCAACUCCACUC
rnacentral:RNase_P_RNA from 1 species